rnacentral:rRNA from 1 species
GCUAAACGCGAAGAACCUUACCAAGGCUUGACAUAUACGAGAACGCUCUAGAAAUAGAGAACUCUUUGGACACUCGUAUACAGGUGCUGCAUGGCUGUCGUCAGCUCGUGUCGUGAGAUGUUGGGUUAAGUCCCGCAACGAGCGCAACCCUUGUCUUUAGUUGCCAGCGAGUCAUGUCGGGCACUCUAAGGAGACUGCCUCGGAUAACGAGGAGGAAGGUGGGAUGACGUCAAGUCAGCAUGGCCUUUAUGUCCAGGGCUACACACGUGCUACAAUGGGCGGCACAGGAGGACGCGAGACCGCGAGGUCAAGCCAACCCUUAAACCGUUCUCAGUUCGGAUUGCAGGCUGCAAUUCGCCUGCAUGAAGUCGGAAUCGCUAGUAAUCGUGGAUCAGCAUGUCACGGUGAAUACGUUCCCGGGUCUUGUACACACCG